CCAACCCUAACCCUAGCUCCAACACUAACCCUAACUCCAACCCUAACCCUAACCCUAACCCUAGCUCCAACCCUAACCCUAACCAUAACCCUAACCCAUGCAUUCCUAUGGGAAAAAAUCAAAUUUUUUUAGGAAUGUCCUAGAGACUCGGGAGUUGGUUCAGUGCACUCAGAAAAAUCCUAGCUCCAAGCCCAACCCUAACCCUAGCUCCAACACGAACCCUAACUCCAACCCUAACCCUAACCCUAACCCUAGCUCCAACCCUAACCCUAACCCUAACCCAUGCAUUCCUAUGGGAAAAAAUCAAUUUUUUUUAAGGGAACAUCCUAGAGACUCGGGAGUUGGUUCAUUGCACUCAGAAAAGUCCUAGCUCCAAGCGCAACCCUAACCCUAGCUCCAACACUAACCCUAACUCCAACCCUAACCCUAACCCUAACCCUAGCUCCAACCCUAACCCUAACCAUAACCCUAAACCAUGCAUUCCUAUGGGAAAAAAUCAAAUUUUUUUAGGAAUGUCCUAGAGACUCGGGAGUUGGUUCAGUGCACUCAGAAAAAUCCUAGCUCCAAGCCCAACCCUAACCCUAGCUCCAACACUAACCCUAACUCCAACCCUAAACCUAACCCUAACCCUAGCUCCAACCCUAACCCUAACCCUAACCCAUGCAUUCCUAUGGGAAAAAAUCAAAUUUUUUUAGGAACGUCCUAGAGACUCGGGAGUUGGUUCAUUGCACUCAGAAAAAUCCUAGCUCCAAGCCCAACCCUAACCCUAGCUCCAACACUAACCCUAACUCCAACCCUAACCCUAACCCUAACCCUAGCUCCAACCCUAACCCUAACCCUAACCCAUGCAUUCCUAUGGGAAAAAAUCAAAUUUUUUUAGGAACGUCCAAGAGACUCGGGAGUUGGUUCAUUGCACUCAGAAAAAUCCUAGCUCCAAGCCCAACCCUAACCCUAGCUCCAACACUAACCCUAACUCCAACCCUAACCCUAACCCUAACCCUAGCUCCAACCCUAACCCUAACCAUAACCCUAACCCAUGCAUUCCUAUGGGAAAAAAUCAAAUUUUUUUAGGAACGUCCUAGAGACUCGGGAGUUGGUUCAGUGCACUCAGAAAAAUCCUAGCUCCAAGCCCAACCCUAACCCUAGCUCCAACACUAACCCUAACUCCAACCCUAACCCUAACCCUAACCCUAGCUCCAACCCUAACCCUAACCCUAACCCAUGCAUUCCUAUGGGAAAAAAUCAAAUUUUUUUAGGAACGUCCAAGAGACUCGGGAGUUGGUUCAGUUGCACUCAGAAAAAUCCUAGCUCCAAGCCCAACCCUAACCCUAGCUCCAACACUAACCCUAACUCCAACCCUAACCCUAACCCUAACCCUAGCUCCAACCCUAACCCUAACCAUAAGCCUAACCCAUGCAUUCCUAUGGGAAAAAAUCAAAUUUUUUUAGGAAUGUCCUAGAGACUCGGGAGUUGGUUCAGUGCACUCAGAAAAAUCCUAGCUCCAAGCCCAACCCUAACCCUAGCUCCAACACUAACCCUAACUCCAACCCUAAACCUAACCCUAACCCUAGCUCCAACCCUAACCCUAACCAUAACCCAUGCAUUCCUAUGGGAAAAAAUCAAAUUUUUUUAGGAACGUCCUAGAGACUCGGGAGUUGGUUCAUUGCACUCAGAAAAAUCCUAGCUCCAAGCCCAACCCUAACCCUAGCUCCAACACUAACCCUAACUCCAACCCUAACCCUAACCCUAACCCUAGCUCCAACCCUAACCCUAACCCUAACCCAUGCAUUCCUAUGGGAAAAAAUCAAAUUUUUUUAGGAAUGUCCUAGAGACUCGGGAGUUGGUUCAGUGCACUCAGAAAAAUCCUAGCUCCAAGCCCAACCCUAACCCUAGCUCCAACACUAACCCUAACUCCAACCCUAACCCUAACCCUAACCCUAGCUCCAACCCUAACCCUAACCCUAACCCAACCCAUGCAUUCCUAUGGGAAAAAAUCAAAUUUUUUUAGGAACGUCCUAGAGACUCGGGAGUUGGUUCAGUGCACUCAGAAAAAUCCUAGCUCCAAGCCCAACCCUAACCCUAGCUCCAACACUAACCCUAACUCCAACCCUAACCCUAACCCUAACCCUAGCUCCAACCCUAACCCUAACCAUAACCCUAACCCAUGCAUUCCUAUGGGAAAAAAUCAAAUUUUUUUAGGAACGUCCUAGAGACUCGGGAGUUGGUUCAUUGCACUCAAAAAAUCCUAGCUCCAAGCCCAACCCUAACCCUAGCUCCAACACUAACCCUAACUCCAACCCUAACCCUAACCCUAACCCUAGCUCCAACCCUAACCCUAACCAUAACCCUAACCCAUGCAUUCCUAUGGGAAAAAAUCAAAUUUUUUUAGGAAUGUCCUAGAGACUCGGGAGUUGGUUCAGUGCACUCAGAAAAAUCCUAGCUCCAAGCCCAACCCUAACCCUAGCUCCAACACUAACCCUAACUCCAACCCUAACCCUAACCCUAACCCUAGCUCCAACCCUAACCCUAACCAUAACCCUAACCCAUGCAUUCCUAUGGGAAAAAAAUCAAAUUUUUUUAGGAAUGUCCUAGAGACUCGGGAGUUGGUUCAGUGCACUCAGAAAAAUCCUAGCUCCAAGCCCAACCCUAACCCUAGCUCCAACACUAACCCUAACUCCAACCCUAACCCUAACCCUAACCCUAGCUCCAACCCUAACCCUAACCAUAACCCUAACCCAUGCAUUCCUAUGGGAAAAAAUCAAAUUUUUUUAGGAAUGUCCUAGAGACUCGGGAGUUGGUUCAGUGCACUCAGAAAAAUCCUAGCUCCAAGCCCAACCCUAACCCUAGCUCCAACACUAACCCUAACUCCAACCCUAACCCUAACCCUAACCCUAGCUCCAACCCUAACCCUAACCCUAACCCAUGCAUUCCUAUGGGAAAAAAUCAAAUUUUUUUAGGAACAUCCUAGAGACUCGGGAGUUGGUUCAGUGCACUCAGAAAAAUCCUAGCUCCAAGCCCAACCCUAACCCUAGCUCCAACACUAACCCUAACUCCAACCCUAACCCUAACCCUAACCCUAGCUCCAACCCUAACCCUAACCAUAACCCUAACCCAUGCAUUCCUAUGGGAAAAAAUCAAAUUUUUUUAGGAAUGUCCUAGAGACUCGGGAGUUGGUUCAGUGCACUCAGAAAAAUCCUAGCUCCAAGCCCAACCCUAACCCUAGCUCCAACACUAACCCUAACUCCAACCCUAACCCUAACCCUAACCCUAACCCUAACCCUAGCUCCAACCCUAACCCUAACCCUAACCCUAACCCAUGCAUUCCUAUGGGAAAAAAUCAAAUUUUUUUAGGAAUGUCCUAGAGACUCGGGAGUUGGUUCAGUGCACUCAGAAAAAUCCUAGCUCCAAGCCCAACCCUAACCCUAGCUCCAACACUAACCCUAACUCCAACCCUAACCCUAACCCUAACCCUAGCUCCAACCCUAACCCUAACCAUAACCCUAACCCAUGCAUUCCUAUGGGAAAAAAUCAAAUUUUUUUUAGGAAUGUCCUAGAGACUCGGGAGUUGGUUCAGUGCACUCAGAAAAAUCCUAGCUCCAAGCCCAACCCUAACCCUAGCUCCAACACUAACCCUAACUCCAACCCUAACCCUAACCCUAACCCUAGCUCCAACCCUAACCCUAACCUAACCCAUGCAUUCCUAUGGGAAAAACUCAAAUUUUUUUAGGAAUGUCCUAGAGACUCGGGAGUUGGUUCAGUGCACUCAGAAAAAUCCUAGCUCCAAGCCCAACCCUAACCCUAGCUCCAACACUAACCCUAACUCCAACCCUAACCCUAACCCUAACCCUAGCUCCAACCCUAACCCUAACCAUAACCCUAACCCAUGCAUUCCUAUGGGAAAAAAUCAAAUUUUUUUAGGAAUGUCCUAGAGACUCGGGAGUUGGUUCAGUGCACUCAGAAAAAUCCUAGCUCCAAGCCCAACCCUAACCCUAGCUCCAACACUAACCCUAACUCCAACCCUAACCCUAACCCUAGCUCCAACCCUAACCCUAACCCUAACCCAUGCAUUCCUAUGGGAAAAAAUCAAAUUUUUUUAGGAAUGUCCUAGAGACUCGGGAGUUGGUUCAGUGCACUCAGAAAAAUCCUAGCUCCAAGCCCAACCCUAACCCUAGCUCUCACUAACACUAACCCCAACCCUAACCCUAACCCUAACCCUAGCUCCAACCCUAACCCUAACCCUAACCCAUGCAUUCCUAUGGGAAAAAAUCAAAUUUUUUUAGGAACAUCCUAGAGACUCGGGAGUUGGUUCAGUGCACUCAGAAAAAUCCUAGCUCCAAGCCCAACCCUAACCCUAGCUCCAACACUAACCCUAACUCCAACCCUAACCCUAACCCUAACCCUAGCUCCAACCCUAACCCUAACCAUAACCCUAACCCAUGCAUUCCUAUGGGAAAAAAUCAAAUUUUUUUAGGAAUGUCCUAGAGACUCGGGAGUUGGUUCAGUGCACUCAGAAAAAUCCUAGCUCCAAGCCCAACCCUAACCCUAGCUCCAACACUAACCCUAACUCCAACCCUAACCCUAACCCUAACCCUAGCUCCAACCCUAACCCUAACCAUAACCCUAACCCAUGCAUUCCUAUGGGAAAAAAUCAAAUUUUUUUAGGAAUGUCCUAGAGACUCGGGAGUUGGUUCAGUGCACUCAGAAAAAUCCUAGCUCCAAGCCCAACCCUAACCCUAGCUCCAACACUAACCCUAACUCCAACCCUAACCCUAACCCUAACCCUAGCUCCAACCCUAACCCUAACCCUAACCCAUGCAUUCCUAUGGGAAAAACUCAAAUUUUUUUAGGAAUGUCCUAGAGACUCGGGAGUUGGUUCAGUGCACUCAGAAAAAUCCUAGCUCCAAGCCAAACCCUAACCCUAGCUCCAACACUAACCCUAACUCCAACCCUAACCCUAACCCUAACCCUAGCUCCAACCCUAACCCUAACCCUAACCCAUGCAUUCCUAUGGGAAAAAAUCAAAUUUUUUAGGAACGUCCUAGAGACUCGGGAGUUGGUUCAGUGCACUCAGAAAAAUCCUAGCUCCAAGCCCAACCCUAACCCUAGCUCCAACACUAACCCUAACUCCAACCCUAACCCUAACCCUAACCCUAACCCUAACCCUAACCCUAGCUCCAACCCUAACCCUAACCCUAACCCUAACCCAUGCAUUCCUAUGGGAAAAAAUCAAAUUUUUUUAGGAAUGUCCUAGAGACUCGGGAGUUGGUUCAGUGCACUCAGAAAAAUCCUAGCUCCAAGCCCAACCCUAACCCUAGCUCCAACACUAACCCUAACUCCAACCCUAACCCUAACCCUAACCCUAGCUCCAACCCUAACCCUAACCCUAACCCAUGCAUUCCUAUGGGAAAAAAUCAAAUUUUUUUAGGAAUGUCCUAGAGACUCGGGAGUUGGUUCAGUGCACUCAGAAAAAUCCUAGCUCCAAGCCCAACCCUAACCCUAGCUCCAACACUAACCCUAACUCCAACCCUAACCCUAACCCUAACCCUAGCUCCAACCCUAACCCUAACCAUAACCCUAACCCAUGCAUUCCUAUGGGAAAAAAUCAAAUUUUUUUAGGAAUGUCCUAGAGACUCGGGAGUUGGUUCAGUGCACUCAGAAAAAUCCUAGCUCCAAGCCCAACCCUAACCCUAGCUCCAACACUAACCCUAACUCCAACCCUAACCCCAACCCUAACCCUAGCUCCAACCCUAACCCUAACCCCAACCCAUGCAUUCCUAUGGGAAAAAAUCAAAUUUUUUUAGGAACGUCCUAGAGACUCGGGAGUUGGUUCAGUGCACUCAGAAAAAUCCUAGCUCCAAGCCCAACCCUAACCCUAGCUCCAACACUAACCCUAACUCCAACCCUAACCCUAACCCUAGCUCCAACCCUAACCCUAACCCUAACCCAUGCAUUCCUAUGGGAAAAAAUCAAAUUUUUUUAGGAAUGUCCUAGAGACUCGGGAGUUGGUUCAGUGCACUCAGAAAAAUCCUAGCUCCAAGCCCAACCCUAACCCUAGCUCCAACACUAACCCUAACUCCAACCCUAACCCUAACCCUAACCCUAAAUCCAACCCUAACCCUAACCCUAACCCAUGCAUUCCUAUGGGAAAAAAUCAAAUUUUUUUUAGGGAAUGUCCUAGAGACUCGGGAGUUGGUUCAGUGCACUCAGAAAAAUCCUAGCUCCAAGCCCAACCCUAACCCUAGCUCCAACACUAACCCUAACUCCAACCCUAACCCUAACCCUAACCCUAGCUCCAACCCUAACCCUAACCAUAACCCUAACCCAUGCAUUCCUAUGGGAAAAAAUCAAAUUUUUUUAGGAAUGUCCUAGAGACUCGGGAGUUGGUUCAGUGCACUCAGAAAAUCCUAGCUCCAAGCCCAACCCUAACCCUAGCUCCAACACUAACCCUAACUCCAACCCUAACCCUAACCCUAACCCUAGCUCCAACCCUAACCCUAACCAUAACCCUAACCCAUGCAUUCCUAUGGGAAAAAAUCAAAUUUUUUUAGGAAUGUCCUAGAGACUCGGGAGUUGGUUCAGUGCACUCAGAAAAAUCCUAGCUCCAAGCCCAACCCUAACCAAAGCUCCAACACUAACCCUAACUCCAACCCUAACCCUAACCCUAACCCUAGCUCCAACCCUAACCCUAACCCUAACCCAUGCAUUCCUAUGGGAAAAAAUCAAAUUUUUUUAGGAACGUCCUAGAGACUCGGGAGUUGGUUCAGUGCACUCAGAAAAAUCCUAGCUCCAAGCCCAACCCUAACCCUAGCUCCAACACUAACCCUAACUCCAACCCUAACCCUAACCCUAACCCUAGCUCCAACCCUAACCCUAACCAUAACCCUAACCCAUGCAUUCCUAUGGGAAAAAAUCAAAUUUUUUUAGGAAUGUCCUAGAGACUCGGGAGUUGGUUCAGUGCACUCAGAAAAAUCCUAGCUCCAAGCCCAACCCUAACCCUAGCUCCAACACUAACCCUAACUCCAACCCUAACCCUAACCCUAACCCUAGCUCCAACCCUAACCCUAACCAUAACCCUAACCCAUGCAUUCCUAUGGGAAAAAAUCAAAUUUUUUUAGGAAUGUCCUAGAGACUCGGGAGUUGGUUCAGUGCACUCAGAAAAAUCCUAGCUCCAAGCCCAACCCUAACCCUAGCUCCAACACUAACCCUAACUCCAACCCUAACCCUAACCCUAACCCUAGCUCCAACCCUAACCCUAACCAUAACCCUAACCCAUGCAUUCCUAUGGGAAAAAAUCAAAUUUUUUUAGGAAUGUCCUAGAGACUCGGGAGUUGGUUCAGUGCACUCAGAAAAAUCCUAGCUCCAAGCCCAACCCUAACCCUAGCUCCAACACUAACCCUAACUCCAACCCUAACCCUAACCCUAACCCUAGCUCCAACCCUAACCCUAACCCCUAACCCAUGCAUUCCUAUGGGAAAAAAUCAAAUUUUUUUAGGAAUGUCCUAGAGACUCGGGAGUUGGUUCAGUGCACUCAGAAAAAUCCUAGCUCCAAGCCCAACCCUAACCCUAGCUCCAACACUAACCCUAACUCCAACCCUAACCCUAACCCUAACCCUAGCUCCAACCCUAACCCUAACCCCCUAACCCAUGCAUUCCUAUGGGAAAAAAUCAAAUUUUUUUAGGAAUGUCCUAGAGACUCGGGAGUUGGUUCAGUGCACUCAGAAAAAUCCUAGCUCCAAGCCCAACCCUAACCCUAGCUCCAACACUAACCCUAACUCCAACCCUAACCCUAACCCUAACCCUAGCUCCAACCCUAACCCUAACCAUAACCCUAACCCAUGCAUUCCUAUGGGAAAAAAUCAAAUUUUUUUAGGAAUGUCCUAGAGACUCGGGAGUUGGUUCAGUGCACUCAGAAAAAUCCUAGCUCCAAGCCCAACCCUAACCCUAGCUCCAACACUAACCCUAACUCCAACCCUAACCCUAACCCUAACCCUAGCUCCAACCCUAACCCUAACCAUAACCCUAACCCAUGCAUUCCUAUGGGAAAAAAUCAAAUUUUUUUAGGAAUGUCCUAGAGACUCGGGAGUUGGUUCAGUGCACUCAGAAAAAUCCUAGCUCCAAGCCCAACCCUAACCCUAGCUCCAACACUAACCCUAACUCCAACCCUAACCCUAACCCUAACCCUAGCUCCAACCCUAACCCUAACCCUAACCCAUGCAUUCCUAUGGGAAAAAAUCAAAUUUUUUUAGGAACUCCUAGAGACUCGGGAGUUGGUUCAUUGCACUCAGAAAAGUCCUAGCUCCAAGCCCAACCCUAACCCUAGCUCCAACACUAACCCUAACUCCAACCCUAACCCUAACCCUAACCCUAGCUCCAACCCUAACCCUAACCCUAACCCAUGCAUUCCUAUGGGAAAAAAUCAAAUUUUUUUAGGAAUGUCCUAGAGACUCGGGAGUUGGUUCAGUGCACUCAGAAAAAUCCUAGCUCCAAGCCCAACCCUAACCCUAGCUCCAACACUAACCCUAACUCCAACCCUAACCCUAACCCUAACCCUAGCUCCAACCCUAACCCUAACCCUAACCCAUGCAUUCCUAUGGGAAAAAAUCAAAUUUUUUUAGGAACGUCCUAGAGACUCGGGAGUUGGUUCAGUGCACUCAGAAAAAUCCUAGCUCCAAGCCCAACCCUAACCCUAGCUCCAACACUAACCCUAACUCCAACCCCCUAACCCUAACCCUAACCCUAACCCUAGCUCCAACCCUAACCCUAACCCUAACCCAUGCAUUCCUAUGGGAAAAAAUCAAAUUUUUUUAGGAACGUCCUAGAGACUCGGGAGUUGGUUCAUUGCACUCAGAAAAAUCCUAGCUCCAAGCCCAACCCUAACCCUAGCUCCAACACUAACCCUAACUCCAACCCUAACCCUAACCCUAACCCUAGCUCCAACCCUAACCCUAACCCUAACCCAUGCAUUCCUAUGGGAAAAAAUCAAAUUUUUUAGGAACGUCCUAGAGACUCGGGGUUGGUUCAUUGCACUCAGAAAAAUCCUAGCUCCAAGCCCAACCCUAACCCUAGCUCCAACACUAACCCUAACUCCAACCCUAACCCUAACCCUAACCCUAGCUCCAACCCUAACCCUAACCAUAACCCUAACCCAUGCAUUCCUAUGGGAAAAAAUCAAAUUUUUUUAGGAACGUCCUAGAGACUCGGGAGUUGGUUCAUUGCACUCAGAAAAAUCCUAGCUCCAAGCCCAACCCUAACCCUAGCUCCAACACUAACCCUAACUCCAACCCUAACCCUAACCCUAACCCUAGCUCCAACCCUAACCCUAACCCUAACCCAUGCAUUCCUAUGGGAAAAAAAUCAAUUUUUUUUAGGAACGUCCUAGAGACUCGGGAGUUGGUUCAUUGCACUCAGAAAAAUCCUAGCUCCAAGCCCAACCCUAACCCUAGCUCCAACACUAACCCUAACUCCAACCCUAACCCUAACCCUAACCCUAGCUCCAACCCUAACCCUAACCCUAACCCAUGCAUUCCUAUGGGAAAAAAUCAAAUUUUUUUAGGAACGUCCUAGAGACUCGGGAGUUGGUUCAUUGCACUCAGAAAAAUCCUAGCUCCAAGCCCAACCCUAACCCUAGCUCCAACACUAACCCUAACUCCAACCCUAACCCUAACCCUAACCCUAGCUCCAACCCUAACCCUAACCCUAACCCAUGCAUUCCUAUGGGAAAAAAUCAAAUUUUUUUAGGAACGUCCUAGAGACUCGGGAGUUGGUUCAUUGCACUCAGAAAAAUCCUAGCUCCAAGCCCAACCCUAACCCUAGCUCCAACACUAACCCUAACUCCAACCCUAACCCUAACCCUAACCCUAGCUCCAACCCUAACCCUAACCCUAACCCAUGCAUUCCUAUGGGAAAAAAUCAAAUUUUUUUAGGAAUGUCCUAGAGACUCGGGAGUUGGUUCAAUGCACUCAGAAAAAUCCUAGCUCCAAGCCCAACCCUAACCCUAGCUCCAACACUAACCCUAACUCCAACCCUAACCCUAACCCUAACCCUAACCCUAGCUCCAACCCUAACCCUAACCCUAACCCAUGUAUUCCUAUGGGAAAAAAACAAAUUUUUUUAGGAACGUCCUAGAGACUCGGGAGUUGGUUCAUUGCACUCAGAAAAAUCCUAGCUCCAAGCCCAACCCUAACCCUAGCUCCAACACUAACCCUAACUCCAACCCUAACCCUAACCCUAACCCUAGCUCCAACCCUAACCCUAACCCUAACCCAUGCAUUCCUAUGGGAAAAAAAUCAAUUUUUUUUAGGGAACGUCCUAGAGACUCGGGAGUUGGUUCAUUGCACUCAGAAAAAUCCUAGCUCCAAGCCCAACCCUAACCCUAGCUCCAACACUAACCCUAACUCCAACCCUAACCCUAACCCUAACCCUAGCUCCAACCCUAACCCUAACCAUAACCCUAACCCAUGCAUUCCUAUGGGAAAAAAUCAAUUUUUUUUAGGAACGUCCUAGAGACUCGGGAGUUGGUUCAUUGCACUCAGAAAAAUCCUAGCUCCAAGCCCAACCCUAACCCUAGCUCCAACACUAACCCUAACUCCAACCCUAACCCUAACCCUAACCCUAGCUCCAACCCUAACCCUAACCCUAACCCAUGCAUUCCUAUGGGAAAAAAUCAAAUUUUUUUGGGGAACGUCCUAGAGACUCGGGGGUUGGUUCAUUGCACUCAGAAAAAUCCUAGCUCCAAGCCCAACCCUAACCCUAGCUCCAACACUAACCCUAACUCCAACCCUAACCCUAACCCUAACCCUAGCUCCAACCCUAACCCUAACCCUAACCCAUGCAUUCCUAUGGGAAAAAAUAAUUUUUUUUAGGAACGUCCUAGAGACUCGGGAGUUGGGUCAUUGCACUCAGAAAAAUCCUAGCUCCAAGCCCAACCCUAACCCUAGCUCCAACACUAACCCUAACUCCAACUUUGGCCUACACAGGCCUGAGUGGAACAGAAGGUUCUACACGGGACCAAUAAUUUAUUAAUAUACCCAAUUCAACCUAAAAUUCUUCUGAAUUAAAAAAUUUAUUAAAAGGAAUAAUUUAUAAAUAUUUCCAAUUCAAAAUUAUUUUAGUUCACAGCCUUGAGGAAGCUUAGCAGGGUCUUUGGCCUACACAGGCCUGAGUGGAACAGAAGGUUCUACAUGGGACCAUCCACUUUUGACUCUGAAUUAAAAAUUUAUUAAAAAUAAUAAUUUAUAAAUAUUUCCAAUUCAAAAAUUAUUUUAGGUCACAGCCUUAAGGGAAACUUAGCAGGGUCUUUGGCCUACACAGGCCUGAGUGGAACAGAAGGUUCUACACGGGACCAUCCACUUUUGACUCUGAAUUAAAAAAUUAUUUAAAAAGAAUAAUUUAUAAAUAUUUCCAAUUCAAAAAUUAUUUUAGGUCACAGCCUUAAGGGAAGCUUAGCAGGGUCUUUGGCCUAGACAGGCCUGAGUGGAACAGAAGGUUCUACACGGGACCAUCCACUUUUGACUCUGAAAUAAAAAUUUAAAUUAAAAGGAAUAAUUUUUUUAAAUAUACCCAAUUCAAAAUUAUUUUAGUUCACAGCCUUGAGGAAGCUUAGCAGGGUCUUUGGCCUAGACAGGCCUGAGUGGAACAGAAGGUUCUACACGGGACCAUCCACUUUUGACUCUGAAAUAAAUAAAAAAAUAUAUUAAAAAGGAAUAAUUUUUAAAUAUACCCAAUUCAAUCUAAAAUUAUUUUAGAUUACAGCCUUGAGGAAGCUUAGCAGGGUCUUUGGCCUACACAGGCCUGAGUGGAACAGAAGGUUCUAUACGGGACCAUCCACUUUUGACUCUGAAUUAAAUUAAUUAAAAAAAUUAUUAAAAGGAAUAAUUUAUAAAUAUUUCCAAUUCAAAAUUAUUUUAGUCCACAACCUUGAGGGAUCUUAGCAGAGUCUUUGACCUAGACAGGUCUGAGUGGUAGAAGGUUCUAGACGGGACCAUCCACUUUUGACUCUGAAUUAAAAUUUAUUAAAAAGUAAUAAUUUAUAUUUCCAAUUUAAUCUAAAAUAAUUUUUUGUCACAGCCUUGAGGGACCUUAGCAGGGUCUUUGGCCUACACAGGCCUGAGUGGAACAGAGGGUUCUACACGGGACCAUCCACUUUUGACUCUUAACUAAAAAUUUAUCAAUAACAAUUAGUAACUAACCUUAUAUAUUUUAUACUGCAUUUUCAAUACUUUCAACCAUAGCUUUGCUACCUUUAGCAGAGUCCAGAGUCUAGACAAUCUGAAGUGUCGUAUUCUUUGAAUUUCAAUUCUUCCAAAUAGCCAUGGUUAGCUCUCUUCAGGCACUAACCCUAACCAUCACCCUCACCCUAACCCUAACCUCUAGAACCUGAAUUUAACCCUAACCCCUAAACCCUAGAUCUAACCCUAACCCUAACCCUAACCUCUAAAUCCUAACCCUAACCCUAACCCUAGCCCUAACCCUAACCCCUAUACCCUAAAUCUAACCCUAACCCUUACCCUAACCCUAACCCUAGCCCUAACUAACCCUAACCCUAGCCCUAACCCUAACCCCUAUACCCUAAAUCUAACCCUAACCCUUACCCUAACCCUAACCCUAACCUCUAGACCCUAAAUCUAACCCUAACCCUAACCCUAACCCCUAGACCCUAAAUCUAACCCUAACCCUUACCCUAACCCUAACCCUAACCUCUAGACCCUAAAUCUAACCCUAGCCCUAACCCUUACCCUAACCCUAACCUCUAGACCCUAAAUCUAACCCUAACCCUAACCCUAACCUCUAGACCCUAAAUCUAACCCUAACCCUUACCCUUACCCUAACCCUAACCUCUAAACCCGAAUCCUAACCCGAACCCUAACCCUAACCUUACUAACCUCUAUCUUUACUUAAUUACCCCACCCUCUUUUUUCGUAUCAGAGGAUGAAAAACAACAGGUGAGGAGAGUUUCUCUGGCUAGUCACUGUGGCAAGUUCUAUUCUCUCUCUAUCACUCGAAUCCCUGUAGAAACAGAAUGGUUUUAAUCCAGACCACCUGUUUCCCUCUCCCCAUCCUCUGAGACUUUGUACUAACACACCCUAACCCUACUCCCUUAGAUAAAUUUCACCCUUUUCCCUCCCUACUAAUAUCACCUAGUCCUUCUCAAUAAACAAAAUUAUUACUAUUAUUAUUAUUAUUAUUAUUAUUAUGGUUAUCACUAUUAUUAUUAUUAUUAUUAUUAUUAUUAUUAUUAUUAUUAUUAUUGUUUUAACCGGUAACCAUACCAACUCUAAUUCCUAACUGAACCUCAAGAAAUAAUUGCUCUACAAACACAUAGUCUAAAAGAUAGACAGCAUAGCAUACCAACUGAGCUGAGUAAUUAAACUUCCUACCCACACAUAGUUUUUUACACACAGAUUGAGCUCGGAGACUCGACUGGGAACAUGUGACAGGUCGACAUGCGACGGCCAGUGCAAGCCCUUGAUUAGCCUACCCCAAACCGCCAAGUCAACAGACGAAAGCGGGGGCUAUCACUGUAUCUCUUACCCACACCUAACCCUAGCUCCAACACUAACCCUAACUCCAACCCUAACCCUAACCCUAACCCUAGCUCCAACCCUAACCCUAACCCUAACCCAUGCAUUCCUAUGGGAAAAAAUCAAAUUUUUUUAGGAACGUCCUAGAGACUCGGGAGUUGGUUCAUUGCACUCAGAAAAAUCCUAGCUCCAAGCCCAACACUAACCCUAGCUCCAACACUAACCCUUACUCCGACCCUAACCCUAACCCUAACCCUAGCUCCAACCCCACACCUAACCCUAACCCAAACCCAUGCAUUCCUAUGGGAAAAAAUCUAAUUUUUUUAGGAACGUCCUAGAGACUCGGGAGUUGGUUCAUUGCACUCAGAAAAAUCCUAGCUCCAAGCCCAACCCUAACCCUAGCUCCAACACUAACCCUAACUCCAACCCUAACCCUAACCCUAACCAUAGCUCCAACCCCACACCUAACCCUAACCCUAACCCAUGCAUUCCUAUGGGAAAAAAUCACAUUUUUUUAGGAAUGUCCUAGAGACUCGGGAGUUGGUUCAGUGCACUCAGAAAAAUCCUAGCUCCAAGCCCAACCCUAACCCUAGCUCCAACACUAACCCUAACUCCAACCCUAACCCUAACCCUAACCCUAGCUCCAACCCUAACCCUAACCAUAACCCUAACCCAUGCAUUCCUAUGGGAAAAAAUCAAAUUUUUUUAGGAAUGUCCUAGAGACUCGGGAGUUGGUUCAGUGCACUCAGAAAAAUCCUAGCUCCAAGCCCAACCCUAACCCUAGCUCCAACACUAACCCUAACUCCAACCCUAACCCUAACCCUAACCCUAGCUCCAACCCUAACCCUAACCCUAACCCAUGCAUUCCUAUGGGAAAAAAUCAAAUUUUUUUAGGAACGUCCUAGAGACUCGGGAGUUGGUUCAUUGCACUCAGAAAAAUCCUAGCUCCAAGCCCAACCCUAACCCUAGCUCCAACACUAACCCUAACUCCAACCCUAACCCUAACCCUAACCCUAGCUCCAACCCUAACCCUAACCCUAACCCUAACCCAUGCAUUCCUAUGGGAAAAAAUCAAAUUUUUUUAGGAAUGUCCUAGAGACUCGGGAGUUGGUUCAGUGCACUCAGAAAAAUCCUAGCUCCAAGCCCAACCCUAACCCUAGCUCCAACACUAACCCUAACUCCAACCCUAACCCUAACCCUAACCCUAGCUCCAACCCUAACCCUAACCAUAACCCUAACCCAUGCAUUCCUAUGGGAAAAAAUCAAAUUUUUUUAGGAAUGUCCUAGAGACUCGGGAGUUGGUUCAGUGCACUCAGAAAAAUCCUAGCUCCAAGCCCAACCCUAACCAAAGCUCCAACACUAACCCUAACUCCAACCCUAACCCUAACCCUAACCCUAGCUCCAACCCUAACCCUAACCAUAACCCUAACCCAUGCAUUCCUAUGGGAAAAAAUCAAAUUUUUUUAGGAAUGUCCUAGAGACUCAGGAGUUGGUUCAGUGCACUCAGAAAAAUCCUAGCUCCAAGCCCAACCCUAACCCUAGCUCCAACACUAACCCUAACUCCAACCCUAACCCUAACCCUAACCCUAGCUCCAACCCUAACCCUAACCAUAACCCUAACCCAUGCAUUCCUAUGGGAAAAAAUCAAUUUUUUUUAGGAAUGUCCUAGAGACUCGGGAGUUGGUUCAGUGCACUCAGAAAAAUCCUAGCUCCAAGCCCAACCCUAACCCUAGCUCCAACACUAACCCUAACUCCAACCCUAACCCUAACCCUAACCCUAGCUCCAACCCUAACCCUAACCAUAACCCUAACCCAUGCAUUCCUAUGGGAAAAAAUCAAAUUUUUUUAGGAAUGUCCUAGAGACUCGGGAGUUGGUUCAGUGCACUCAGAAAAAUCCUAGCUCCAAGCCCAACCCUAACCCUAGCUCCAACACUAACCCUAACUCCAACCCUAACCCUAACCCUAACCCUAGCUCCAACCCUAACCCUAACCCUAACCCAUGCAUUCCUAUGGGAAAAAAAUCAAUUUUUUUUAGGAACGUCCUAGAGACUCGGGAGUUGGUUCAUUGCACUCAGAAAAAUCCUAGCUCCAAGCCCAACCCUAACCCUAGCUCCAACACUAACCCUAACUCCAACCCUAACCCUAACCCUAACCCUAGCUCCAACCCUAACCCUAACCCUAACCCAUGCAUUCCUAUGGGAAAAAAUCAAAUUUUUUUAGGAACGUCCUAGAGACUCGGGAGUUGGUUCAUUGCACUCAGAAAAAUCCUAGCUCCAAGCCCAACCCUAACCCUAGCUCCAACACUAACCCUAACUCCAACCCUAACCCUAACCCUAACCCUAACCCUAGCUCCAACCCUAACCCUAACCCUAACCCAUGUAUUCCUAUGGGAAAAAAUCAAAUUUUUUUAGGAACGUCCUAGAGACUCGGGAGUUGGUUCAUUGCACUCAGAAAAAUCCUAGCUCCAAGCCCAACCCUAACCCUAGCUCCAACACUAACCCUAACUCCAACUCUAACCCUAACCCUAACCCUAGCUCCAACCCUAACCCUAACCAUAACCCUAACCCAUGCAUUCCUAUGGGAAAAAAUCAAAUUUUUUUAGGAAUGUCCUAGAGACUCGGGAGUUGGUUCAGUGCACUCAGAAAAAUCCUAGCUCCAAGCCCAACCCUAACCCUAGCUCCAACACUAACCCUAACUCCAACCCUAACCCUAACCCUAACCCUAGCUCCAACCCUAACCCUAACCAUAACCCUAACCCAUGCAUUCCUAUGGGAAAAAAUCAAAUUUUUUUAGGAAUGUCCUAGAGACUCGGGAGUUGGUUCAGUGCACUCAGAAAAAUCCUAGCUCCAAGCCCAACCCUAACCCUAGCUCCAACACUAACCCUAACUCCAACCCUAACCCUAACCCUAACCCUAGCUCCAACCCUAACCCUAACCCUAACCCAUGCAUUCCUAUGGGAAAAAAUCAAAUUUUUUUAGGAACGUCCUAGAGACUCGGGAGUUGGUUCAUUGCACUCAGAAAAAUCCUAGCUCCAAGCCCAACCCUAACCCUAGCUCCAACACUAACCCUAACUCCAACCCUAACCCUAACCCUAACCCUAGCUCCAACCCUAACCCUAACCCUAACCCAUGCAUUCCUAUGGGAAAAAAUCAAAUUUUUUUAGGAAUGUCCUAGAGACUCGGGAGUUGGUUCAAUGCACUCAGAAAAAUCCUAGCUCCAAGCCCAACCCUAACCCUAGCUCCAACACUAACCCUAACUCCAACCCUAACCCUAACCCUAACCCUAACCCUAGCUCCAACCCUAACCCUAACCCUAACCCAUGUAUUCCUAUGGGAAAAAAUCAAAUUUUUUUAGGAACGUCCUAGAGACUCGGGAGUUGGUUCAUUGCACUCAGAAAAAUCCUAGCUCCAAGCCCAACCCUAACCCUAGCUCCAACACUAACCCUAACUCCAACCCUAACCCUAACCCUAACCCUAGCUCCAACCCUAACCCUAACCCUAACCCUAACCCAUGCAUUCCUAUGGGAAAAAAAUCAAUUUUUUUUAGGGAACGUCCUAGAGACUCGGGAGUUGGUUCAUUGCACUCAGAAAAAUCCUAGCUCCAAGCCCAACCCUAACCCUAGCUCCAACACUAACCCUAACUCCAACCCUAACCCUAACCCUAACCCUAGCUCCAACCCUAACCCUAACCAUAACCCUAACCCAUGCAUUCCUAUGGGAAAAAAUCAAUUUUUUUUAGGAACGUCCUAGAGACUCGGGAGUUGGUUCAUUGCACUCAGAAAAAUCCUAGCUCCAAGCCCAACCCUAACCCUAGCUCCAACACUAACCCUAACUCCAACCCUAACCCUAACCCUAACCCUAGCUCCAACCCUAACCCUAACCCUAACCCAUGCAUUCCUAUGGGAAAAAAUCAAAUUUUUUUGGGGAACGUCCUAGAGACUCGGGGGUUGGUUCAUUGCACUCAGAAAAAUCCUAGCUCCAAGCCCAACCCUAACCCUAGCUCCAACACUAACCCUAACUCCAACCCUAACCCUAACCCUAACCCUAGCUCCAACCCUAACCCUAACCCUAACCCAUGCAUUCCUAUGGGAAAAAAUAAUUUUUUUUAGGAACGUCCUAGAGACUCGGGAGUUGGGUCAUUGCACUCAGAAAAAUCCUAGCUCCAAGCCCAACCCUAACCCUAGCUCCAACCCUAACCCUAACCCCAACUUUGGCCUACACAGGCCUGAGUGGAACAGAAGGUUCUACACGGGACCAAUAAUUUAUUAAUAUACCCAAUUCAACCUAAAAUUCUUCUGAAUUAAAAAAUUUAUUAAAAUGAAUAAUUUAUAAAUAUACCCAAUUCAAAAUUAUUUUAGUUCACAGCCUUGAGGAAGCUUAGCAGGGUCUUGGGCCUACACAGGCCUGAGUGGAACAGAAGGUUCUACACGGGACCAUCCACUUUUGACUCUGAAUUAAAAUUUAUUAAAAAGUAAUAAUUUAUAAAUAUUUCCAAUUUAAUCUAGAAUAAUUUUAGGUCACAGCCUUGAGGGAGCUUAGCAGAGCCUUUGACCUAGACAGGUCUGAGUGGAACAGAAGGUUCUACACGGGACCAUCCACUUUUGACUCUAAAUUAAAAAUGUAUAAAAAAAAAUAUUAAAAAGGAAUAAUUUUUAAAUAUACCCAAUUCAAAAUUAUUUUAGUUCACAGCCUUGAGGAAGCUUAGCAGGGUCUUUGGCCUACACAGGCCUGAGUGGAACAGAAGGUUCUACACGGGACCAUCCACUUUUGACUCUGAAUUAUAAAUUUAUUAAAAAGGAAUAAUUUAUUAAUAUACCCAAUUCAAUCUAAAAUUAUUUUAGGUCACAGCCUUGAGGAAGCUUAGCAGGGUCUUUGGCCUAGACAGGCCUGAGUGGAACAGAAGGUUCUACACGGGACCAUCCACUUUUGACUCUGAAUUAUAAAUUUAUUCAAAAGGAAUAAUUUAUUAAUAUACCCAAUUCAAUCUAAAAUUAUUUUAGGUCACAGCCUUGAGGAAGCUUAGCAGGGUCUUUGGCCUACACAGGCCUGAGUGGAACAGAAGGUUCUAUACGGGACCAUCCACUUUUGACUCUGAAUUAAAAAUUUAUUAAAAGGAAUAAUUUAUAAAUAUUUCCAAUUCAAAAUUAUUUUAGUCCACAACCUUGAGGGAUCUUAGCAGAGUCUUUGACCUAGACAGGUCUGAGUGGUAGAAGGUUCUAGACGGGACCAUCCACUUUUGACUCUGAAUUAAAAUUUAUUAAAAAGUAAUAAUUUAUAUUUCCAAUUUAAUCUAAAAUAAUUUUUUGUCACAGCCUUGAGGGACCUUAGCAGGGUCUUUGGCCUACACAGGCCUGAGUGGAACAGAGGGUUCUACACGGGACCAUCCACUUUUGACUCUUAACUAAAAAUUUAUCAAUAACAAUUAGUAACUAACCUUAUAUAUUUUAUACUGCAUUUUCAAUACUUUCAACCAUAGCUUUGCUACCUUUAGCAGAGUCCAGAGUCUAGACAAUCUGAAGUGUCGUAUUCUUUGAAUUUCAAUUCUUCCAAAUAGCCAUGGUUAGCUCUCUUCAGGCACUAACCCUAACCAUCACCCUCACCCUAACCCUAACCUCUAGAACCUAAAUCUAACCCUAACCCCUAAACCCUAACCCUAACCCUAACCCUAACCCUACCCUAACCCUAACCCUAACCUCUAAAUCCUAACCCUAACCCUAACCCUAACCCUCUAAACCCUAAAUCUAACCCUUACCCUUGCCCUAACCCUAACCCCUAGACCCUAAAUCUAACCCUAACCCUUACCCUAACCCUAACCUUUAGACCCUAAAUCUAACCCUAACCCUAACCCUAACCCCCUAACCCUAACCCCUAGACCCUAAAUCUAACCCUAACCCUUACCCUAACCCUAACCUCUAGACCCUAAAUCUAACCCUUACCCUAACCCUAACCCUAACCCUAACCUCUAGACCCUAAAUCUAACCCUAACCCUAAUCCUUACCCUAACCCUAACCCCUAAACCCUAAAUCUAACCCUAACCCUAACCCUAACCUCUAGACCCUAAAUCUAACCCGAACCCUUACCCUUACCCUAACCCUAACCUCUAAACCCGAAUCCUAACCCGAACCCUAACCCUAACCUUACUAACCUCUAUCUUUACUUAAUUACCCCUCCCUCUUUUUUCGUAUCAGAGGAUGAAAAACAACAGGUGAGGAGAGUUUCUCUGGCUAGUCACUGUGGCAAGUUCUAUUCUCUCUCUAUCACUCGAAUCCCUGUAGAAACAGAAUGGUUUUAAUCCAGACCACCUGUUUCCCUCUCCCCAUCCUCUGAGACUUUGUACUAACACACCCUAACCCUACUCCCUUAGAUAAAUUUCACCCUUUUCCCUCCCUACUAAUAUCACCUAGUCCUUCUCAAUAAACAAAAUUAUUACUAUUAUUAUUAUUAUUAUUAUUAUUAUUAUUAUUAUUAUGUUUAUUACUAUUAUUAUUAUUAUUAUUAUUAUUAUUAUUAUUAUUAUUAUUAUUGUUUUAACCGGUAACCAUACCAACUCUAAAUCCUAACUGAACCUCAAGAAAUAAUUGCUCUACAAACACAUAGUCUAAAAGAUAGACAGCAUAGCAUACCAACUGAGCUGAGUAAUUAAACUUCCUACCCACACAUAGUUUUUUACACACAGAUUGAGCUCGGAGACUCGACUGGGAACAUGUGACAGGUCGACAUGCGACGGCCAGUGCAAGCCCUUGAUUAGCCUACCCCAAACCGCCAAGUCAACAGACGAAAGCGGGGGCUAUCACUGUAUCUCUUACCCACACCUAACCCUAGCCCAACCCUAACCCUAACCCUAACCCUAACCCUAACCCUAACCCUAGCUCCAACCCUAACCCUAACCCUAACCCAUGCAUUCCUAUGGGAAAAAAUCAAAUUUUUUUAGGAACGUCCUAGAGACUCGGGAGUUGGUUCAUUGCACUCAGAAAAAUCCUAGCUCCAAGCCCAACACUAACCCUAGCUCCAACACUAACCCUUACUCCGACCCUAACCCUAACCCUAACCCUAGCUCCAACCCCACACCUAACCCUAACCCUAACCCAUGCAUUCCUAUGGGAAAAAAUCUAAUUUUUUUAGGAACGUCCUAGAGACUCGGGAGUUGGUUCAUUGCACUCAGAAAAAUCCUAGCUCCAAGCCCAACCCUAACCCUAGCUCCAACACUAACCCUAACUCCAACCCUAACCCUAACCCUAACCAUAGCUCCAACCCCACACCUAACCCUAACCCUAACCCAUGCAUUCCUAUGGGAAAAAAUCACAUUUUUUUAGGAACGUCCUAGAGACUCGGGAGUUGGUUCAUUGCACUCAGAAAAAUCCUAGCUCCAAGCCCAACCCUAACCCUAGCUCCAACACUAACCCUAACUCCAACCCUAACCCUAACCCUAACCCUAGCUCCAACCCUAACCCUAACCAUAACCCUAACCCAUGCAUUCCUAUGGGAAAAAAUCAAAUUUUUUUAGGAACGUCCUAGAGACUCGGGAGUUGGUUCAUUGCACUCAGAAAAAUCCUAGCUCCAAGCCCAACCCUAACCCUAGCUCCAACACUAACCCUAACUCCAACCCUAACCCUAACCCUAACCCUAGCUCCAACCCUAACCCUAACCCUAACCCAUGAAUUCCUAUGGGAAAAAAAUCAAAUUUUUUUAGGAACGUCCUAGAGACUCGGGAGUUGGUUCAUUGCACUCGGAAAAAUCCUAGCUCCAAGCCCAACCCUAACCCUAGCUCCAACACUAACCCUAACUCCAACCCUAACCCUAACCCUAACCCUAGCUCCAACCCCACACCUAACCCUAACCCUAACCCAUGCAUUCCUAUGGGAAAAAAUCUAAUUUUUUUAGGAACGUCCUAGAGACUCGGGAGUUGGUUCAUUGCACUCAGAAAAAUCCUAGCUCCAAGCCCAACCCUAACCCUAGCUCCAACACUAACCCUAACUCCAACCCUAACCCUAACCCUAACCAUAGCUCCAACCCCACACCUAACCCUAACCCUAACCCAUGCAUUCCUAUGGGAAAAAAUCACAUUUUUUUAGGAACGUCCUAGAGACUCGGGAGUUGGUUCAGUGCACUCAGAAAAAUCCUAGCUCCAAGCCCAACCCUAACCCUAGCUCCAACACUAACCCUAACUCCAACCCUAACCCUAACCCUAACCCUAGCUCCAACCCUAACCCUAACCAUAACCCUAACCCAUGCAUUCCUAUGGGAAAAAAUCAAAUUUUUUUAGGAACGUCCUAGAGACUCGGGAGUUGGUUCAUUGCACUCAGAAAAAUCCUAGCUCCAAGCCCAACCCUAACCCUAGCUCCAACACUAACCCUAACUCCAACCCUAACCCUAACCCUAACCCUAGCUCCAACCCUAACCCUAACCCUAACCCAUGCAUUCCUAUGGGAAAAAAAUCAAAUUUUUUUAGGAACGUCCUAGAGACUCGGGAGUUGGUUCAUUGCACUCAGAAAAAUCCUAGCUCCAAGCCCAACCCUAACCCUAGCUCCAACACUAACCCUAACUCCAACCCUAACCCUAACCCUAACCCUAGCUCCAACCCCACACCUAACCCUAACCCUAACCCAUGCAUUCCUAUGGGAAAAAAUCAAAUUUUUUUAGGAACGUCCUAGAGACUUGGGAGUUGGUUCAUUGCACUCAGAAAAAUCCUAGCUCCAAGCCCAACCCUAACCCUAGCUCCAACACUAACCCUAACUCCAACCCUAACCCUAACCCUAACCCUAGCUCCAACCCCACACCUAACCCUAACCCUAACCCAUGCAUUCCUAUGGGAAAAAAUCAAAUUUUUUUAGGAACGUCCUAGAGACUCGGGAGUUGGUUCAUUGCACUCAGAAAAAUCCUAGCUCCAAGCCCAACCCUAACCCUAGCUCCAACACUAACCCUAACUCCAACCCUAACCCUAACCCUAACCCUAGCUCCAACCCCACACCUAACCCUAACCCUAGCUCCAACCUUAAAAGUCACGUGGACACACCGAGUGGAAAAUCAAUCUUGAGUGAAAAGAGUACUUUCUGUUGGAAAAAAAAGGUUAUCUACUGGAUAUCUUUGGGGCCACUUUACCCUUUUAUCAACAAAAGAGCUGAAAAAGGACAGAUGGUACCAGGAGAACAAAAGUGGCAAAGAACAUACAACAAGGGGUUGAAUGUGAGAGCUAAACCUUUUGUCUUUGUGUCACUGUGCUCUCUGUAAUGGGUCACACAUUGUGCUGAACGGGCACCUCGAUGAAAACAAUUUUAUUCAACAGAAUGAACGAAAAGGUGAGCUUAUUUAGAGAUUUAAAUCGUUCGGGUUUGUUUGUUUUCUCCCCAGAUUGAAUAUUUACCUCACCUAUUUGAGAGUCACAAAGCUGAGACUUUCAAGACUGCAAGUAUAUCACAUUUAAUUCACCAAGACAGAGGUGCAAGGCUCGGGUUAGAUCCCUUUCUUUGCUGUAUUACGACCAGCUCCUUUUUGUGUCUGCUGCUGAUGACAAACUCAGGCGCUCUUUUUCAAAGUUUGGUCCCAAAAGAAAAAUAGAAGAUAACAUCAUGCUUAACUUGUUAUGCUGAUAUUGAACUUAAGCUCCAUCUUUUCUUUGCCGUGAAUGUAAAACCAUUUUUCUUGAAUUAGCGCUGCAUUUGACAAAAUGACAAAAUGGCAAUAGUUUCCCAUCAAACGGAUAGCCAUCAGGUAAUUACAUUCCCUAAACCUCUAACAAAAUCAAUAAAGGGCUGUUCUGAAACGAACCUCUAGUGUGUGAACACCUGUUCAGUUUCACCUUGAUCAGUGGUCCUUCUAAUGGGCUCAGAAGACAAAUCGAGUCCCCUUGAACACUGAAUUGAGCCACAAUGGCGGCACACGUGUGGUUUCAAUCUCGCCAGCCUCUCUGCUCCAAUAGCUCAGUGCAGGGAUGGCAGAGACAAAUAAGAUUGGGAAGCUGCCACAGAUGUGACUCUGGAGAAAUGAUGAGGGUCCCGAGCAGAGCAGGAUAAUUGGGUGCUGCUAUAUGUGACUGGGCGGCAAUUGACAACAUUAGCAGAUGGAUUAGCAAUAGGACCGCUGGAGUAAUGAGACUUCCUACAUCCUGAUUUAGACUGAAUGUCAUUUAACUAAAGCAUUGAAAAGCAUGAAAUGUUAGAGGCCUGUGAAGACUGGAUUUACAUUUUUGUCAUUGAAACUACAUGAAAAAAAGUUCCUAUCAAAAGUCAAGGAAGUCUUCUGGUGCUCUCGGGGUUCAGCUUUGAAGGUGUAUGAUGGACAAGGGGGAAACCACAGGGUGAAACCCCAGGGAUUCAGAACCCCCUGGGGAGAUCAAAUCCCCUGACCAGGCUCAAAGUCCUCAGGGAUCCCCUGGGAAGAUGAGGAAACUACUUAGAAAAGAAAGUCUUGGCUCUGAGAUAUUGCUCAGUGGCUGCUUAGCCGAUCUGGUAAAGUAGAGAGGAAAUGAGCCGAUAGAUUGAUGGGAGUUACUUACUCUGUUUGGUGGAUGGAUUCAUGGAUGGCAAUGUGAACAUAUAAUGGAUGUACUGCAAAAAAUCACAUUUUAUGCAUUUGUAGUCCUCACAGUGACUAUGACUGUGAUGACAUUUUUAUGACAUCUUGUGCAACCAGUCGGCCAAACCUUUGAACCACAGUUUUGGGGAAAUAUGUUUUAUCUACUUGACAAACUUUCAAAUAUUUAGUCUACUCUAUUUCACCAACCAAGCACCCUUUGUGGUCUUUAUAUCAGGGCCUCUUCACUUAAUACAUCCUCAUUCAUCUGUCCCUCUCAGUGCAGGCUGUCACUCUGACUGCUGGAUAAAAUAAGAUGUUCUUUCCUGGAAAUUAGACGACAGGUUGUUCCUGAUUAACACAUCUCAACGGGGGAUGGUUUGUUUGCUCAAAAAUGAUCAUGCUCCUCAUAAAAUGGGUGUCACAUGGAUUCAUCAGGAGGGAGAUGACAGCUCAGGGGAGACUGGCAGCCAUUAAGGAAGCAGACAAGCCAAUUAUCAUCAAUCAGUGCGGCUUUUUGCAGCCUUCAGUCAAAGAGAUACAAGGAUGAGGAGGGUGCAAAUGUGAUCAUUUACAAGACCUGUUUAACAUAAGGUCUGAUAUGACACCAAAAGGAAGUCAGUGUAGAGAAGCUUAUACAAGGAGAAUACCAGUGCCCUCUUCUCCUGGUUCUGGUCAGUACUCCGGCUGCAGUGUUUUGGACCAGACUUGUUCGGGCAGCCUGAUAAAAGGGAAUCACAGUAAUCCAGCCUGGAGGUGACAAUUGCAUAGACUAGUAUUCUGCCAGCUGCUCCAAUCUUCCUAAAUUCUGGAAAA